UAGGGAAUCUUCCGCAAUGGGCGGAAGCCUGACGGAGCAACGCCGCGUGAGUGAUGAAGGUCUUCGGAUCGUAAAACUCUGUUAUUAGGGAAGAACAAAUGUGUAAGUAACUAUGCACGUCUUGACGGUACCUAAUCAGAAAGCCACGGCUAACUACGUGCCAGCAGCCGCGGUAAUACGUAGGUGGCAAGCGUUAUCCGGAAUUAUUGGGCGUAAAGCGCGCGUAGGCGGUUUUUUAAGUCUGAUGUGAAAGCCCACGGCUCAACCGUGGAGGGUCAUUGGAAACUGGAAAACUUGAGUGCAGAAGAGGAAAGUGGAAUUCCAUGUGUAGCGGUGAAAUGCGCAGAGAUAUGGAGGAACACCAGUGGCGAAGGCGACUUUCUGGUCUGUAACUGACGCUGAUGUGCGAAAGCGGGGGGAUCAAACAGG
rnacentral:rRNA from 1 species